rnacentral:rRNA from 1 species
AGAGUUUGAUCCUGGCUCAGGAUGAACGCUGGCGGCGCGCCUAACACAUGCAAGUCGAACGGCACCUGCCUUCGGGCAGAAGCGAGUGGCGAACGGCUGAGUAACACGUGGAGAACCUGCCCCCUCCCCCGGGAUAGCCGCCCGAAAGGACGGGUAAUACCGGAUACCCCCGGGCGCCGCAUGGCGCCCGGGCUAAAGCCCCGACGGGAGGGGAUGGCUCCGCGGCCCAUCAGGUAGACGGCGGGGUGACGGCCCACCGUGCCGACAACGGGUAGCCGGGUUGAGAGACCGACCGGCCAGAUUGGGACUGAGACACGGCCCAGACUCCUACGGGAGGCAGCAGUGGGGAAUCUUGCGCAAUGGGGGGAACCCUGACGCAGCGACGCCGCGUGCGGGACGGAGGCCUUCGGGUCGUAAACCGCUUUCAGCAGGGAAGAGUCAAGACUGUACCUGCAGAAGAAGCCCCGGCUAACUACGUGCCAGCAGCCGCGGUAAUACGU